rnacentral:misc_RNA from 1 species
GAAAUGCGAUAAGUAAUGUGAAUUGCAGAAUUCAGUGAAUCAUCGAAUCUUUGAACGCACAUUGCGCCCGCCAGUACUCUGGCGGGCAUGCCUGUUCGAGCGUCAUUUCAACCAUCAAGCCCCCGGCUUGUGUUGGGGACCUGCGGCUGCCCGCAGGCCCUGAAAAACAGUGGCGGGCUCGCUGUCACACCGAGCGUAGUAGCAUACAUUCUCGCUCAGGGCGUGCUGCGGGUUCCGGCCGUUAAACGACCUUCAUAACCCAAGGUUGACCUCGGAUCAGGUAGGAAGACCCGCUGAACUUAAGU